CGGCGCAGGUGCAGGAGUCUUCGCCCGGAGGGGCCACCCACACACGUGCCCAGCCCCUCCCCCAGUGCGUAGGUGCCGGCGUCCCUGAGCAGGGGCAUCGGGUUUAAAAGCCGGGCGGCCAGGACGCAGAGGAGAGGGGAAAAAGGACGGAGCCCCGGCGAGCCGGGGCGCAGAGACUCACGCCGGACGGCGGCGGGGCGGCAGGACCAUUGCACGGACCAAGACAGACAAUCGAGCGUCCUGGGACUGGAGUGGCGGCGAGUGAGGUGCGAGCCUCAUCUCCCACACCAGCCUCCUGACCCCCCAAGAAUCACAAGUGCUGCCGCCCCCGCGAGGACUUCCAGCGGGAACACAUCGGCUGCCUCCGUUCCCUCCAGCAGUCUCUGGACAGGCAGGAGCAGUGGUUGGAUCCAGACUUAGAGCAGCGCCGUGCUGAUGGGAACCACCUGGCGGGAGCUGUACCAGGAGGCCCGGAGCAUGGCCUCCUGGAUGCGCACAGCCUCCUGAUGGGCCUGCUGGAUGGCAGCUGUGUGCAGCUGUUCAAAGACCCUGGCCAGCCACUCGGCCUCUGUCCCUCACCCUGGCAGAAACAUCUCCCCCUUAUUUUCGCACAGGCUGUGCAGAACACAGCAGGCUGACCCUCCUGGGGGAUGUUCCGCUCACUCAGAUCUCACCAGAGGGAAAGAAAAAAAUUUGCAGAAGAAAUUUGAAGAAUCCAUCUUGUAGGGCUUCAAGAAACUCAUCCCUCAAUUUCUGCAGCACUGAUGAUACCUCAGGGUGUGAAAGAGAUGAGAUCUCCACUGAGAUGAUUCUUGUGGACAUGUACAGACAGGGUUGAAAUGAUCACCAAAUUUGGACGUAGGAAGGAAUUUUCUCCCAGAUAAUAUUGUUCAGGGACUGGGGGUUACUCUUCCUUCCCCAUUACUCCCAUCCCAUUACUCCUAGCUCCAACAUAUAAGGCUGGUGCUGCAUAGCUGCAUCUGAUUCCUUCUAUCAUCUGCAGCUAUAUUUCAAUGUUAUUUUGUGAUUAUAUCCCUGCCUUUGUGACUGCAUAGAUUAUGACAAGGGUUGGAUCAUGGCAAUACAUUCUGCCUGAUGCUACACCAGAAAAGCCAUUUGAAAACUUCAGCUGGAACAGAAAGCCACUGAGAAACUACACAGAGAAACUUGUCACAUCAAUCACAUCCCACCUGUGAACCACUUUCCUAAGGUGCAACCCCAGGUGGUGGUUCUGAUCUAGAUAUUUCUAACUAUUUGGUGUCCCCAGCUCCAGAUGUCUCUGGCUACUUUGUGCCCUGGGUCACACAAACAAAAUGCAAAUUUCUGCACCUAUUUUCUUCUCCCCCACAAGAGUCAUCCAUCCAAAUGGAGAUACUGCGUUUUGAAGACUUAUUUUGGUUUCAGCAAAUAACAGAAUACAUUUUGGAAGCUUUACUGAAAAUGAUUCUAGAUGACUGCUACUGCUUCUGUGGGCAUUUGGAAAAUUCUUGGAAUGAUUUUCAUUUGCUUGGUGUGAUGAAUAUUACUAUAGUAACAGAUACAUAUAAUAAUAUGACCUCAUAACUGAGAAAUUGAGACAUGCGUGUCAUAACUCUAUAUUCUGUGGUCAGAAAAAAAGAAAAAAGAAAAAGACAUUUGAAAUCUUAGGGCACGUCUAAAUUACAUUCCUCUUCCAAAAGAGGAAUGUAA